AAACAGUUCAUCCUAAUUCAUUGCCAUUCUUCAUUGAUACGCUUGUUGAUCACCGCAUAGCUGAGGAGAAAAUAAAUGCAACUGAUUCAAAGAAUGAUGCCAGCGAGGAUACUCUGACAUUCUUGCGGUCUAAUCUUGAGAAGUUGGUUGAUACUAUCAAAUGUUAUGAAGCUAAAAGAGCUAGUUUACGGGAUGGAGAUUCUGAUUCUAACAGUUUAUUGGAAGGAGGAACUGAUAAAGCAGAUAAUGCCAAGGAAAUGUCUGAUGCAGAAGUAGAAGCAAAGCUUCGAAUAUUGUAUGAAAGAAAGAAAUCAAUAUACAUGGAUCUCGCUGCUGCUCAGGCACGAGAGAGGAAAGCUAAUGAAGAAACAAAAGCUCUUAGACAUAAAUUACGGAAGGCUAUACUAAAAGAGGCUGAGAUUGUGGCGACUACACUGAGUGGCUGUGGUGGAGAUCUACAUGGGGUUUGUGCUGCAUCUGUGUCCGGCCAGAGAUUUAGCAGUUCAUCCGAGGGUGUCCUAUUUGAUGCAGUUGUGAUUGAUGAAGCUGCUCAAGCUCUGGAGCCUGCUUCCCUCAUACCACUUCAACUAUUAAAAUCAACGGGAACUAGAUGUGUGAUGGUGGGUGAUCCAAAGCAGCUUCCAGCCACAGUUCUCUCUAAUAUUGCCAGCAAAUUUUCUUUCCAAUGUAGCAUGUUUGAACGCUUGCAAAGAGCUGGUUAUCCUGUUAACAUGCUCACACAGCAGGAUGCACCCAGAGAUAUGCCGUUUUCCUUCUUUCCAUUUUUAUGAUGGUAAGUUGGUUGAUGGAGACCAGUUAUCCAGCAAAGUUGCAUCAUUUCAUGGGACCAAGGGUCUUGGUCCCUAUGUAUUCUUUGAUAUUGUUGAUGGGAAGGAGCUCCAUGAUAAAAAAUCUGGCACAUUAUCCCUCUACAAUGAGUGUGAGGCUGAUGCUGCAGUUGAAGUGUUGAGAUUUUUCAAGAGGAGGUUUCCAUCUGAGUUUGCUGGUGGAAGAAUUGGUAUUAUAACUCCUUAUCGGUGUCAACUUUCUCUGUUACGCUCACGAUUUUCAAGUGCAUUUGGAUCUUCUAUCACUGCUGACAUGGAGUUUAAUACAGUCGAUGGUUUUCAAGGUCGAGAAGUUGAUAUAGUUAUACUCUCCACAGUGAGGGCAUUCGAGGCAUGCUCAAAUGCAACACAGGUUAAUUCUAGCCGUAUUGGUUUUGUGGCUGAUGUAAGGCGGAUGAAUGUUGCUUUGACCAGGGCAAAACUUUCUUUGUGGAUCAUGGGGAAUGCAAGGACAUUGCGGACUAACCAAAACUGGGAAGCUCUAGUGAAGGAUGCAAAAGAAAGAGAGUUAGUGAUGUCACUUAAAAGACCAUAUAAUGCUACUUUUAAAUCAUCUGAUCGGGAGAAACUGUUGACUUCAGAGAAACCAGAAAAUUGUUCGAGGACGUUGAAGCAUGUCAGCGGGGUUGAAACCACAUGUCAGCAUGCUGAUAGUCAAAAGAACAAUGUAAAGCAUGUGACAGAAAGGAAAAGAAAAGACACCAGCCUUGGAGCUCCAAUUGACAUUCCAAUACGUGCUGAGCUGUAUGGAAAAAAUGUUGAGGGAGAACAAAGAUCUAAAGAUGAAAGUAGUCUUUUGUUGAAAAAGGAUCUCAAUAAUGAUCAUUGCAGAAAUACCAAGGGUGCACAUAUUUUACUCAGGCAAAAUCAAUCAGAAUCGAGUGAAAGUUGCGAAAAGAUCAGUAAGAAGCACAGGAAAGAGAGGAAAGCUCAUGGGCAUCACGGAAAACAUUGUGACAGCUUAGAGAGUAACUUGGGGAACUCAAAAAAGUCGAGGAGUGAUAACCAUAAACAUUCUAUAUCUGUUGCAUCUGAAAGAUUUCAACUACCUUUAGAACACGAUGAUAAAUUGCGGAAUACGAGAGGUUGGAAGAACCCUGCUAAGACAUCUCUUAUGCAGAAGGAUGUGGAAGAUGGGAUUGGAGCUUGUAAUCAGGUUAAACAGCCUGAUCACAUAAUAUCAGAGAGGAAACAACAACGUGAUGCUGUUGAUGCUCUUCUUUCUUCAGCACUAAUAUCUUCGAACAAGUCUAGGUCUUCACUAAAAUCUUUGCCUGCCAAAAGGAUGAGUUCACCAAAUGCUGGAUGUCCUCCAAUUAGACCAUCUAAGCAAAAUAAGAGCUAGCAGCAAUUCCUUCUUACGCAAGGACUGGCAUAUUCAUCAAGGUCGUU
rnacentral:misc_RNA from 1 species